rnacentral:miRNA from 10 species
UGAGGCAGGAGAAUUGCUUGAACCUGGGAAGCGGAGGUUGCAGUGAGCCGAGAUUGUGCCACUGCACUCCAGCCUGGGCGACAGAGCAAGACUCUGUCUUGG